UAUAGAAGUGUCAAAUUCAGUGCCUGCCAUACCAAUAGCAGGCCCUGGUCCAGAAGGCUGCUGUAGAAACACUGUGACUCAUGGGCUCUGUUCCUCUUCCUUGGGCUCAGGCAUAAAUUUAGUGACAGAUACCA
ensembl:snoRNA